UUAAAAAUAAGCUAAAUUAAGCUUUUGGGCUCAUACCUCAAAUAUAUAGGAAAAACCCUUUUUUUAAAA
rnacentral:tRNA from 1 species